AUGGCUCAGCAGGGGCAGGUUUUGGGACACGCCUCGGCUCUUGUGCCUAUAGUCUGCAGACAAGGAGGAACCGUGGAAGCCCCGCCCCUCACGCCCCUCCGAAAUCUGUGCAGGGCUCCUGCUGGUGGAGGAAUCCCCGUCCAUUCGGUGUGCAGAAAGAAAGAAAGCCAAGCGUGCAACGUUCCACUAGUUUUAAUGAGGAAAAUUCCACACGGGAGAGAGAGAGAGAGAGAGGCGAGGAGGGGGGGGGGGGGGGGGGGGGGGGGGGGGGCGGUCCCCAGAGGAGCAGGAGUAGGGAGAGCUGCCCCUGGGCUCCUGGGUGUGGAAUGGGGCUCCAGGCUCAUGCUGGAUUUCUCUCCAGCAGGUUUGAAACGCGAGUCUUUACUUGUUCAAGAGCAUCCCGGGCGCGUUCAAUGCCAGCCUCUGCCAGUUCCCUGGAGAGAGUUACGGUGGGGUGAGAAGGGGAGGAAAGCGAGUUCAGGGAACAGAAUCCCCCGCCCCCCGCGAGAGGCCCUGUUGGGCUGGAUGCGUCUCGGCAGCUGCCAGGAUUCAGGGGCCAGAAACAGAAUUUACACGGUCAGCCAGCCGAUUGUCCUUGCUGGCCAAAGCAAGGCUUUGUACCAAACGAGCGUCCGGUCAGUCUUGACCAAUUGGGGGGCCGCCUGGAAGUGCGGGGACAGGCGCCCGGGUUCUCUGGAAGCCGCGCAGGCAACGCGAUCCAGCUCUGCCCUCCGGGGAGUUCACGCCCAGCCCCUCUGGAGGAACCAUCGCUCACAGGAGGAGCAGCCCCCGAGGGCCGUGCAGCGCCUGCGUUCUCCUGUUCACCCCCAAAAUGCCAGAGACCCCCCCAGACCCACCUCACUUGCUGGUAAACGGGCGAUGCUUGGACAGCGGCGAUGCGCUCUUGCGCCUUCUGGACGAGGCCCUGGAAACGGGUCCUCAGCGUCUCCUGGCCUUCCUCCGCGCCUGGGGACCAAGGGGCGGAAGCCUGAGGAUCUCUCCAGGGAGGGGCAAGGCAAGAGCCCGGCAAGAGCAAGGCGCCUCCCCCGCUCUCGGAGCACCCGGGGGCCCCACUGCCGGGGCCCCAGCUCGGCUCCCUUGCCGGGGCCCCCUCUUACGUGCAUCGGUGGCCAGCAGCGCCAGCAGCGCCAGCAGCAGCAGAAGCGGGACUCUCAUCUUCCUUCGGGGGUCCUGUGCCGGGAAAAGGGGCCGUCACUGGCCUGGAAGGGGCUGCUGUUACUGGGGGCGGCUCUUGGGCCCUGGGCUCCUCUAGGGCGGGGACCUUUCCAGAGAACGGGCAAGAAGGGGAAGGGAGCCAGGCGGGGCCAGGGCUGCUCAGCGAGGGGCACAGCUGGCGGGAGGGGCGCCGGGCUUGGUGGCGCCCUUCAGGGCUUAGCCAGGCGGGGGUCCCAGCGCCCUCCCGCCUCCCCUCAGUCGGAAAGCCUUAUGCGGAGGCUCCUCGCCCACCUUUUCUCCAGGAGCUGA
rnacentral:lncRNA from 1 species